AUGGAUUACCAAGGAAACAAUCUUAAUGAUUUCUUUCAAACUAAUGGGCAUUUGGUACUUAAAAGUGUGGACAACAACUAUAAACUGCGAUCCUUCACCGAAAAGGAGAUAAAGCACAUUACGAAAAGAUAUAGCACUUUGCUUGGUAGUGGCUCGUUCGGUGAUGUCUACAAAGGAAGAUUAGAUGAUCAACGCCCAGUCGCAGUAAAGAGAUACAAAAAUGGAACCAAUAAAGAGGAGUUCGCCAAGGAGGUGAUAGUGCACUCCCAGAUAAACCACAAGAAUGUUGUCAAAUUGUUAGGAUGCUGCAUAGAGGAAAAUGCUAUUAUGAUUGUUAUGGAGUUUAUCUGUAAUGGAAACCUCUACAACAUCCUUCACUGUGGCAAUGCUGAUGGUCCUAUCCCUUUUCAUUUGCACAAACGUUUGGACAUCGCCAUUGAGUCAGCUGAAGCGCUAUCAUGUAUGCAUUCAAUGUACAGUCCUGUCCUUCAUGGUGACAUUAAACCUGCCAAUAUACUGUUGGAUGGAAAGUACUUGCCAAAGCUAUCUGAUUUUGGAAUAGCAAGAUUGCUUUCUACUGACGAGGCCCAGCGUACCAAAACUGUUAUUGGUUGCAUAGGUUAUGUGGACCCUUUGUUUUGUCAGAGUGGGAUUCUCACUACAAAGAGUGAUGUAUACAGUUUUGGAGUUGUUCUGUUGGAAAUGAUCACCCGAAAGAAAGCGACGGACGGGGCUACUAGUCUUACUCAAUGUUUCUCUGAGGCCCUGGGUAGAGGGAAGAAGGUGAGACAACUGUUUGAUGUGGAAAUUGCCAAUGACAAGAACAUUAAGUUGAUCGAAGAUAUUGCAAAGCUAGCAGCUACAUGCUUGAGACUGGAUGAUAAAAUGCGUCCGACAAUUGUUGAGGUAGCAGAUAGACUUAGGAGGAUUAGAAAAGCUCUCCCCCAGCGCAAGAGUGAAAGCUCUACAGGCAUCAACAAUGGGCUCAUAAGAAGAGGAAAGGCAGAGGAUGUACCAACUAUUUCCCUUGAUGAAAUGAAGAAAAUAACAAGAAACUUUAGUAAUGGUGCUUUAAUAGGAGAGAGCUCACAAGGCAGAGUUUUCUUCAAAGUGUUAAAAUAUGGACCGGAAUAUGCAUUCAAGUCUUCUCAAGAAAUUGAUUUGAAGAUUGAAGCGAUUUCAAGACUGAAACACGAGAACGUUGUCCAACUUCUCGGGUAUUGGGUCGAAGGAGACAAAUAUGUUCUUGCUUACGAGUAUGCAUCGGGGGGCACUUUGCAUGAUAUUCUUCACAGCGAGGGUAUAAAAAGUUUUUGGCACAGAAUCAAGGUGUGGCGGCUGCCACACCUUGCCCACUCGAGUCCUCCGCCAGUGCCCGUCAGCAUACAUCGAGCUAAGCGGACGACCAGAAGAAAAGAGUUGGCAAAUCCAGGCCGUCGGCAAAUCGGUGCCAAGUCAGGAACAAUUCUAUCAUGGAUGCAGAGAGUGAAGAUUGCCUUAAGUGCAGCAGAAGGGCUUGAGUUCCUCCAUCAUAAGGCAGAGCCUCAGGUCACCCACGGUAACAUCAUGUCCAGCAAGAUACUUCUCUUUGACAACGAUAUCGCAAAGGUUGGCGACGUCGGCAUAUCCAAUGUGCUGGUCAGUGAUGACAUGGAUAGCUGUCAUAGUUUUAGAUGGGACCUUGACACGGAUCGUAUGAAUGAUCAUUGUUAUCACCAAGAUGAUUACCAUGUCGAUGUAUAUGCUGCUACUGGACAGUGCAACACAAAGAGUGAUGUAUACGCCUUCGGGGUUGUGCUGCUGAAACUUUUAACCGGUCGUAAGGCAGUUGAUCAUACACUACCCCGCGGCAGGCAGAGCCUCGUGACAUGGGUAUGCACCCUUGGCAAGAAGAACCUAUGCAACCAUUGUGACGAGAAGCGCUUCAUAUGGGCAUACAAUUUUAUGUUAGACAAUGUGUUAACAAAAACAAGUUUUAGUGAAGAUAAGGUGCAGCGAUGCAUGGAUCCGAGGCUUGAAGGAGAUUACCCUCGCAAUGCUGCUACCAAGAUGGGUGCGAUCGCGGCGCUAUGUGUGAAUUACAAUCCAGAUCUCCGACCAAACAUGAGCACUGUCGUCAAGGGUCUGAGACAAUUGCUACACAGCGAGCCAUGUGACUUGGUGGCAUGA
rnacentral:rRNA from 1 species